CGACCUCAGAGCAGGCGAGACUACCCGCUGAAUUUAAGCAUAUUACUAAGCGGAGGAAAAGAAACUAACAAGGAUUCCCCCAGUAGCGGCGAGCGAACAGGGAAGAGUCCAGCACCGAACCCCGCAGGCUGCCGCCUGUCGUGGCAUGUGGUGUUUGGGAGGGUCCACUACCCCGACGCCUCGCGCCGAGCCCAAGUCCAACUUGAAUGAGGCCACGGCCCGUAGAGGGUGCCAGGCCCGUAGCGGCCGGUGCGAGCGUCGGCGGGACCUCUCCUUCGAGUCGGGUUGCUUGAGAGUGCAGCUCCAAGUGGGUGGUAAACUCCAUCUGAGACUAAAUAUGACCACGAGACCGAUAGCGAACAAGUACCGUGAGGGAAAGUUGAAAAGAACUUUGAAGAGAGAGUUCAAAAGUACGUGAAACCGUUCUGGGGUAAACGUGAGAAGUCCGAAAGGUCGAACGGGUGAGAUUCACGCCCAUCCGGCCACUGGCCUCCGCCCUCGGCAGAUGGGGCCGGCCGCCCGCGCGGAGCAAUCCGCGGCGGGGUCGUGUCCGGUUGCCUUUCCACUCGCCGCGGGGUGGGGCCGUUCCGGUGUGCGGUGGGCCGCACUUCUCCCCUAGUAGGACGUCGCGACCCGCUGGGUGCCGGCCUACGGCCCGGGUGCGCAGCCUGUCCUUCCGCGGGCCUCGGUUCGCGUCUGUUGGGCAGAGCCCCGGUGUCCUGGCUGGCUGCCCGGCGGUAUAUCUGGAGGAGUCGAUUCGCCCCUUUGGGCGCUCGGGCUCCCGGCAAGCGCGCGCGGUUCUUCCCGGAUGACGGACCUACCUGGCCCGGCCCCGGACCCGCGCCGCUGUUGGCUCGGGAUGCUCUCGGGCGGAAUAAUCGCUCCCGUCAGCGGCGCUUCAGCUUUGGACAAUUUCACGACCCGUCUUGAAACACGGACCAAGGAGUCUAACAUGUGCGCGAGUCAUUGGGCUGUACGAAACCUAAAGGCGUAAUGAAAGUGAAGGUCUCGCCUUGCGCGGGCCGAGGGAGGAUGGGGCUUCCCCGCCCUUCACGGGGCGGCGGCCUCCGCACUCCCGGGGCGUCUCGUCCUCAUUGCGAGGUGAGGCGCACCUAGAGCGUACACGUUGGGACCCGAAAGAUGGUGAACUAUGCCUGGCCAGGACGAAGUCAGGGGAAACCCUGAUGGAGGUCCGUAGCGAUUCUGACGUGCAAAUCGAUCGUCGGAGCUGGGUAUAGGGGCGAAAGACUAAUCGAACCAUCUAGUAGCUGGUUCCCUCCGAAGUUUCCCUCAGGAUAGCUGGUGCUCGUACGAGUCUCAUCCGGUAAAGCGAAUGAUUAGAGGCCUUGGGGCCGAAACGACCUCAACCUAUUCUCAAACUUUAAAUGGGUGAGAUCUCCGGCUUGCUUGAUAUGCUGAAGCCGCGAGCAAACGACUCGGAUCGGAGUGCCAAGUGGGCCACUUUUGGUAAGCAGAACUGGCGCUGUGGGAUGAACCAAACGCCGAGUUAAGGCGCCCGAAUCGACGCUCAUGGGAAACCAUGAAAGGCGUUGGUUGCUUAAGACAGCAGGACGGUGGCCAUGGAAGUCGGAAUCCGCUAAGGAGUGUGUAACAACUCACCUGCCGAAGCAACUAGCCCUGAAAAUGGAUGGCGCUGAAGCGUCGUGCCUAUACUCGGCCGUCAGUCUGGCAGUCAUGGCCGGUCCUUGCGGCCGGCCGCGAAGCCCUGACGAGUAGGAGGGUCGCGGCGGUGGGCGCAGAAGGGUCUGGGCGUGAGCCUGCCUGGAGCCGCCGUCGGUGCAGAUCUUGGUGGUAGUAGCAAAUACUCCAGCGAGGCCCUGGAGGGCUGACGCGGAGAAGGGUUUCGUGUGAACAGCCGUUGCACACGAGUCAGUCGAUCCUAAGCCCUAGGAGAAAUCCGAUGUUGAUGGGGGCCGUCAUAGCAUGAUGCGCUUUGUGCUGGCCCCCGUUGGGCGAAAGGGAAUCCGGUUCCUAUUCCGGAACCCGGCAGCGGAACCGAUACAAGUCGGGCCCCUCUUUUAGAGAUGCUCGUCGGGGUAACCCAAAAGGACCCGGAGACGCCGUCGGGAGAUCGGGGAAGAGUUUUCUUUUCUGCAUGAGCGUUCGAGUUCCCUGGAAUCCUCUAGCAGGGAGAUAGGGUUUGGAACGCGAAGAGCACCGCAGUUGCGGCGGUGUCCCGAUCUUCCCCUCGGACCUUGAAAAUCCGGGAGAGGGCCACGUGGAGGUGUCGCGCCGGUUCGUACCCAUAUCCGCAGCAGGUCUCCAAGGUGAAGAGCCUCUAGUCGAUAGAAUAAUGUAGGUAAGGGAAGUCGGCAAAUUGGAUCCGUAACUUCGGGAUAAGGAUUGGCUCUGAGGAUCGGGGCGUGUCGGGCUUGGUCGGGAAGUGGGUCAGCGCUAACGUGCCGGGCCUGGGCGAGGUGAGUGCCGUAGGGGUGCCGGUAAGUGCGGGCGUUUAGCGCGGGCGUGGUCUGCUCUCGCCGUUGGUCGGCCUCGUGCUGGCCGGCGGUGCAGGAUGCGCGCGCCUGCGCGGCGUUCGCGCCCCGGUGCUUCAACCUGCGUGCAGGAUCCGAGCUCGGUCCCGUGCCUUGGCCUCCCACGGAUCUUCCUUGCUGCGAGGCCGCGUCCGCCUUAGCGUGCUCCUCCGGGGCCGCGCGGGUGCGCGGAUUCUCUUCGGCCGCCAUUCAACGAUCAACUCAGAACUGGCACGGACUGGGGGAAUCCGACUGUCUAAUUAAAACAAAGCAUUGCGAUGGCCCUAGCGGGUGUUGACGCAAUGUGAUUUCUGCCCAGUGCUCUGAAUGUCAACGUGAAGAAAUUCAAGCAAGCGCGGGUAAACGGCGGGAGUAACUAUGACUCUCUGAGUGCCUAUGGGGGCCGGUCACACGUGAGGAGGUCGCUGCUGCCUUGCCGCCCAGGGGAUCGGCAGCCGGGCCGGACGGCCUGACUCCAGCGGAGCUGCGGCGCCUGCCGCAUGAAGUCCUGGUGAAACUCUUGAACCUCUUCCUCCUGGCCCGCGCCCUCCCCGAGCGUCUGCUUCGCGCCCGGACGUCACUUCUCCCCAAAACGGCUGCACCAACAUCCCCCGCUGACUUUCGCCCCAUUACGGUCUGCUCGGUGUUGGCGCGGACCUUUCACAAGGUUCUCGCGUCACGCCUGAUGCGUGCAUGUGCUGUGGACGAACGUCAGCGGGCAUUCAUCCCCCGGGAUGGGAUGUUGGAAAACACCUUCAUCUUGGACACUGCUCUCACCGACGCAGUCCGCUCCUGUCGCUCUGUUUUUGUGGCAUCGAUCGACGUCUCUAAAGCGUUCGAUUCGGUGGACCAUGCUGCCCUCCGCCCCGUGCUGAGGGCUCAUGGCCUGCCGGAUUGCUUUAUUGAGUACGUCGAAAGGUGUUACGAGGGUAGCACGACGGUGAUAGCGGGCGGCGCCGACGUGGGCGUGCCCCUGCAGCCGGCUAGGGGUGUGCGUCAGGGUGACCCCCUCUCCCCCCUCCUUUUCAAUUUUGCGGUGGACUAUGUUUUGAGUCAACUUCCCUCCCACAUCGGAGCUCGGAUCCUUGGUCGCAGAGUUAACGCUGCGGCCUUCGCAGAUGACGUCCUGCUUUUUGCAUCGACCGCGAGGGGAUUGCAGUCCCUCAUCGACGCAGCCGUCGCAGCCCUCGCCCAUCUGGGGCUGCAGAUCAACGCCCGGAAGUGUUUCACCCUCGCCUUAGUCGCGUCUGGGCGCGACAAGAAGGUGAAGGUCGACGCCGACGUUACCUUCAAAGCGGGCAACGCCACCGUGCCCGCCCUACGUGUGGGUGAAACCUUCCGGUACCUGGGACUGCAAUUCUCCACCGCGGGUCGCUGCGUUUUCAACCCACGACGCCACCUGGUGGAGCAGCUGGACGUCAUCUCCCGAGCUCCGCUCAAGCCGCAACAGCGCCUCCACGCCCUCACCACCGUACUUCUGCCUGGCCUGUACCAUGGGCUGGCCCUCAGCCGCACUCGAGUGGGUGCGUUGAAAGCGGCAGAUGUGACCAUCCGUGCCGCCGUCAGGAGAUGGUUCCGCCUUCCGGCGGACACUCCCCUGGGCUACUUCCACGCUCCUGUAGCCCAGGGUGGCCUCGGCAUCCCAUCAUGCCGAUGGAUGGGGCCAACACUUCGCCGGUCCCGUCUCCUGGCGCUGAAGAGGAUUGGGCCAGCCGCCGACGGUGCAGGCCGGGACGAGGUGCAGCGUGAGAUUGAGGCGCUGGAGCGGCAUCUUAUGUGGGAGGGCCACCUCCUCAAAUCGUCGACGCAGGUUGGAGAGAUGUGGGCCGCGCGCCUGCACGUUGCCUUUGACGGUGCGGCGCUGUCAUCUUCCGCCGCCGUCAAGGGGCAACACCAGUGGGUCGCUGACACCAGUCGCCUGCUAUCUGGGCGUAACUUCAUCGACGCUCUCCGCGCCCGCAUCAACGCCUUCCCCACGAAGGCACGGCGCAGUCGCGGGCGGGAGGCGGACACCAGAUGCCGCGCGGGCUGCCAGGCCGUAGAGACCGCCAACCACGUGUUACAGGCUUGCUUCAGGACGCACGGGUCCCGGGUUAAGCGGCAUGACGCGAUCGUGCGCUAUGUCGCCCGUGGACUCGCGCAGAGGGGCUUCAACGUCUCUGUGGAGCCCCACCUCCGCACACCUGAGGGAAUCCGCAAGCCUGACGUGGUGGCGGUUAAAGACGGCAUCGCCCGCGUCAUCGACGCCCAGGUAGUCGGAGACCAUCUCCGGCUCGACUGGUGUCACUCCGAGAAAGCGGCCUACUACAACACGCCGUCUAUCAGGCGUGCCAUCUCCAACCUGCACCGUGACGUUGAGGAGGUUACAGUGUCCACCGCGACAUUGAAUUGGAGGGGUGUAUGGUCUCCAGCGUCGGCCGGAGAUCUCUCCGCACUUGGAUUUAGACCCCGAGAACUGGCGGUGCUUAGCACAAGAGUACUGCAAAGCUGCUGCACGAGCUAUCGCAU